ensembl:miRNA
UUUCUCAAGAAGGUGGUAUUCAUGUGUACUAAACUAUGAUAUCACCUUUUUGAGAAG